CAUGCCAAGGACACGCGUGGGGACAUAGGACACAGCAAGGACAUGCGUGGGGACACGGAACAUGCCAAGGACACGCGUGGGGACACGGCAAGGACACGUGUGGGGACACAGGACACGGCAAGGACACGCGUGGGGACACGGGGACACGCCAAGGACACGCGUGGGGAGACGGGACAUGCCAAGGACACGCGUGGGGACACGGCAAGGACACGUGUGGGGACACGGGACACGCCAAGGACACGCGUGGGGACAUGGGACACGGCAAGGACACGCGUGGGGAGACAGGACACGGCAAGGACACGUGUGGGGACACGGGACACGGCAAGGACACGCGUGGGGACAUGGGACACGGCAAGGACACGCGUGGGGAGACAGGACACGGCAAGGACACGCGUGGGGACACGGGGACACACCAGAGACACACCAGGGACAAGGACACACGCCAAGGACAUGUGUGGGGAGACGGGACAUGGCAAGGACACGCGUGGGGACACGGGGACACGCCAGGGACAUGCGUGGGGACAUGGGGACACCCCGGGGACACGUGUGGGGACACGGAGACGCCCCCAAAGUCCCCCGAGGCCCCUCAGGGACACGCGUAGGGACCCAAAGACACGUCAAGGACACGCGUGGGGACACAGAGAUGUCCCAAAACCACCCGGGGAACCUCAGGGACACGCGUGGGGACAUGGGGACACCCCAAAGAGCCCCAGGGACCCCACAGGGACACGCGUGGGGACACGGGGACACAUCAGGGACACGCGUGGGGACAUGGGGACGCCCCGGGGACACGCGUGGGGACAGAGGGACACCCCAAAGACCCUGGGGACCCUCAGGGACACGCGUGGGGACCCAACGACACGCCAGGGACACGCGUGGGGACAAGGGGAGACCCCAGAGAGCCUUGGGGACCCCUCAGGGACACGCGUGGGGACAUGGGGACACGCGUGGGGUGAUGGGGACACCCCAAAGAGCCCCAAGGCCCCUCAAGGACACGCGUGGGGACACGGGGACACGCCAGGGACACGCGUGGGGACACGGAGACGCCCCAAAGAGCCCCAGGGACCCCUCAGGGACACGCGUGGGGACACGCCAGGGACAUGCGUGGGGACCUGGGGACGCGUGUGGGGACAUGGGGAUGCCCCAGAGAGCCUUGGGGACCCCACAGGGACACAUGUGGGGACACGGGGACACGCCAGGGACACGCGUAGGGACAUGGGGACACGCGUGGGGACACGGAGACGCCCCAAAACCACCCGGGGACCCCUCAGGGACACGCGUGGGGACACGGGGACACCCUGGGGACACGCGUGGGGACACGUAGACGCCCCCAAAGUCCCCCGAGGCCCCUCAGGGACACGCGUGGGGACCCGAGGACACGCGUGGGGUGAUGGGGACACCCCAAAGACCCCCAAGGUCCCUCAGGGCCACGCGUGGGGACAUGAGGACACGCCAGGGACACGCGUGGGGACCCGGGGACACGCGUGGGGACACAGAGACGCCCCAAAACCACCCGGGGACCCCUCAGGGACACGCGUGGGGACAUGGGGACACGCCAGGGACACGCGUGGGGACACGAAGGUGCCCCAUAAACCCCUGGGGACCCCUCAGGGACACGCGUGGGGACACGGGGACACCCCAAAACCCCCC
rnacentral:lncRNA from 1 species